rnacentral:rRNA from 1 species
GUAAACUGCUUUUAUACAGGAAGAAACGUUAGUACGUGUACUAGCCUGACGGUACUGUAAGAAUAAGGAUCGGCUAACUCCGUGCCAGCAGCCGCGGUAAUACGGAGGAUCCAAGCGUUAUCCGGAAUCAUUGGGUUUAAAGGGUCCGCAGGCUGUCUGAUAAGUCAGAGGUGAAAUCCUAUCGCUCAACGAUAGAACUGCCUUUGAUACUGUCAGACUUGAGUUAUUGUGAAGUAGUUAGAAUGUGUAGUGUAGCGGUGAAAUGCAUAGAUAUUACACAGAAUACCGAUUGCGAAGGCAGAUUACUAACAAUAUACUGACGCUCAUGGACGAAAGCGUGGGUGGCGAACAGGAUUAGAUACCCUGGUAGUCCACGCCGUAAACGAUGGUCACUAGCUGUUUGAUGCACAUUGGUAUGUUGAGUGGCUAAGCGAAAGUGAUAAGUGACCCACCUGGGGAGUACGCUCGCAAGAGUGAAACUCAAAGGAAUUGACGGGGGCCCGCACAAGCGGUGGAGCAUGUGGUUUAAUUCGAUGAUACGCGAGGAACCUUACCAGGGCUUAAAUGUAAGUUGCAUGGAUCAGAGAUGGUCCUUUCUUCGGACUACUUACAAGGUGCUGCAUGGUUGUCGUCAGCUCGUGCCGUGAGGUGUCAGGUUAAGUCCUAUAACGAGCGCAACCCCUAUCGUUAGUUGCCAUCAAGUUAAGUUGGGUACUCUAGCGAGACUGCCGGUGCAAACCGAGAGGAAGGUGGGGAUGACGUCAAAUCAUCACGGCCCUUACGUCCUGGGCCACACACGUGCUACAAUGGCCGGUACAAAGAGCAGCCACUACGCGAGUAGGAGCGAAUCUUCAAAGCCGGUCUCAGUUCGGAUCGCAGUCUGCAACUCGACUGCGUGAAGCUGGAAUCGCUAGUAAUCGCAUAUCAGCCAUGAUGCGGUGAAUACGUUCCCGGGCCUUGUACACACCGCCCGUCAAGCCAUGGAAGCUGGGGGUACCUGAAGUCGGUGACCGUAAGGAGCUGCCUAGGGUAAAACUGGUAACUGGGGCUAAGUCGUAACAAGGUAGCCGUACCGGAAGGUGCGGCUGGAACACCUCCUUUCU